rnacentral:sRNA from 1 species
UAUGUUCUUGGCAAUUGGCUCAUACAGGCUCUGACUUACUCAUCAGGGUAAUGCAAUGUUGGGUUUGGAAUUUGAUGGCACUCUUGGGAGGUAAUAGAAACUAGGGAGUGGGGCCUGCUUGAAGGAACUGGCUUACUGGAAGGGAAUAUCUUGUCCUUGGCUCCCUCCUGAUGGUUUUCUCUGCCUUCCAUUUGUCAUGGGUAAGCAGUUUUGUUCUUUCAUAUGUUAGCAUGUUCUGCUUCAUGGUGCAGGAGGCCAGGAGCAAGGGACCCCAGUGACCAUGAGCCCGAACACCUUUGCUGCUUUUCAAUAGUUUCUCUCACGUGCUUUGCUACAGUAACAAACUCAGCCCCCGCCAUCUCAGUUCCUGACUCUUUACGAAGACACUGGAUUUUAUCACACUAGAAAGUUGGAAGGCUGCGUGCGGUACAAUAUCAAGUGCUCCAUAUUUAUUAGAUACUCUUCCCUUCAGGCCUCGCUCUCUCAUAGGUGGGUGACUGUGAGCAAGCACCUAAAUUUUUGCGACCUUUAAUUUCUUUGUGUUUACGACGACACCUUCUUUAACAUUUAUGGGCUAUUCUCGUCUUGCCAAGGGGAAACUGAGGCUCGGAGCUAAGCAUUCACUCUCUUCGUUCUUUGUGGAGGAUGAUGUAUUGGGAAGGUAGUGGAGAAAGCCUUUGAGUGAUGGUGAAUGGGUACCACUCUUCUACAAUGGCCAGGAAGCACUGCUGAAGGCCAAAGGCAAGGAAGGGGCUGGAGAGAAGACUCAGCGGUGCAAAGCGCUGACCUUUCUUCCAGAGGACCAGAGUUCAGUUCCCAACGUUCACAGUCGGCGGUCCAAGACCACCUGUACCCGCAGCACCAGGGCUGCAAUAUCCUCCUCAGGCCUCCAUGGGCCCCUGUCUCAUGUGCCAUGUCUUCUCACAGACACAUACACAUGCAUGUAGAUAAACAUGAUAAAAAUGAAGGAUCUGUAAAAGGAAAGAAAGAAAGUGUAAUAGAGCAGAGAGUGAAAGCGCCACACUUUAGGAUGCUCCACUCUGAACUCUCAAGUCCAGGACACAUGACAUUCACAGUGUAAAGUAUCAGGAUCAUCGGGAGGCCCAUGGCCAGGGACUUGGUCCUUAACGAGAACCUCAUGAAGAUUCAACUUAGAGAUGGAGGUCGGAAGGAAACCCAGAAGAAACAAUGAAGCCAGGUACACUUCCUCCCAAAGAAAGGAGCCUUCCUUUCCCACAUACAUGUGUGGACAGGGUGAGGGGAAGGAGCAGUUCCUGGAAUCAACACGAGUAGAGCUGAUAAUUUUGGCCUUGGGUAAGCAUGACCACUCUCCCUGGCCAGGGGUCGUAAUAGCUGGAAGAAGAAAACAUCUCUUAGUGGACCCAACCCCCAAUGGUUGAACCAACUACAGAAGCUUCAAGGACAAGAGACCCAAGCAAACAAUGCAUGAAGGUCAAAGAAGAGUCAGAAGGUCAUGUUAGGAGUAGGAUCCCAAGAUAUCCUUUGGAUUCUUGAGAGGAAAGAUAGACUAUGUCUUUAGGGACAUUUGACCUUCCCUAAUUAUCAUACAUCAAGGGGAGGGUUACAUUUGUGUCUGUCUUUGCCAGUUAUGUGUUUCUGUAACAAAAUAGCUGAGGCUCAGAAGUCUUUGAAACACAGAAGCCUAUCUAGCUCAUAGUUCUGGUUGCUGGAAGGCCCAGAAAGUGUGGGGUAGCUUGUACCCCACGCAUCACAGCAGGGCCAAGAAGCAGAUGGGAAAUGAGCAUGCGCAGCUGAGUCACAUGAUGAGCAAGAAAGCAAAGAGUCUGGGGAGGAGUCAAACGUACUCUUUUUAUAGCAACUACUCUCACAGAUGCUAAUUAGCGCCUACCACAUCUGACCUACAUCUAUAACACAACAGCCAUCCAUUCAUAAGCUCCCACAACCUAAUGACUGUGUAUUGAGCUUCUUAAAGGUUUGAUUCCUUCCCGCUCCUAUGCUGGGGACCAGGUGACGAACGCACGAGUCUAUGGGGACAAACCUCAUCAAUCCAUAGCAAGGUCUCUCUGUAUAUUGCCUGUUUAGUACUUAAAGGUCAGUUUCAAGAAGCAAGACAUUAAUCUUCUCUCCAAAUCAAUAAAGGCUCGGUGAUUGGAUUGUUAAUCGCUAGUCUCAGGAAAUCAAGAAUUAAAACUUCAAUCUCCUUGAACCCGAUGGGGUAGCAGCCAGGUCCCCUUUCACAAAUGAAUGAUCUACUCUACCAACUGUUGUUGGCUUAAGGUAGGUAAGAUCACUUUUGAUGAAUAGAAAGCCCCCUCCGUGACCAUCUCUCCUUUAUCUGGGAUCCAGGAAAUCCAAUGACGUCAGAAUGACCCAUUCCCCUGGCCUCCACAAGGGGUAGUAGUUCUGAAGCCCAGAUCCAGAGCGCUUUUGAGAUUGGCCUUAAUACCGCACUGGAAUGCUUCACUGCCCCAUCUGCGUCUGACUCCCCCUUUCCUCCGGUGUCCUAACUGACACAUCUGGCAGGUCUUGAAUCUUAACGCCUGGCACCCACCUGCCGCAGAUGUUAGACGCUCCCCUCUGAGCAAUGCUUAUAAACAAGACUGCAACUGAGAGUUUCCAAGCAGUAAUAAGCAACAUCUGUACUUCUGUACUGUUGUAUGCUCCACCCAACACUCCUACGCUCAUUUAACUCUUCAGCCAUCUGAAGAGGUUGGCAGGCAGAGGACAGUGGCCUUGUCUGGCUUAUUUCACAAAUGCAAGAUCUCCACCAUGAAUCGGUCUCCAGAAAGAAAAAAAAAUCCUAAGUUACGACCAACCUCUCAGGAGUGACUCUCUGCCAGCCUGGCUGCUAAAUCACGGACACCAGCGUAAUUGAAACAGAAAAUCACGCCCGGCAGAACAGCCUAGCAACACCACUAUUAGCAGCUGUGGCUCUCCACUUCGAACCAGGGAGCUAAUACGCCUCUUUAUGCAUGCGCAGGCACUGCCAGAUAUAUAUCUUCACCAAUGUUUUCAUAGGGACUGGGCCUUCCCACUCCUUCCUGCCACCACGAAGCUGCUCACUCUGGGAAGACCGAACUUGUCUGUGGUACCUAAGGCUGCCCCACUGUGGGGCUGAUGCAAAACUCUUCUUCCCUCCCCCCUCCCUCCUUUCCUUCCUCCCUUCUUCCCCUUCUCGUCCAUCACUGAGCUUACGGUGGUGCUGAGGAAGCUGAAAACAGAGCAAUCACACAAACCUGGAGGUAAACUGCACCAAUUGCCCUAAUCAAGCAAGCUGCUCUCCAAAGGGAUCUGACACCUUGGAAUGAAGGAGGUCACGGUGAGAAAGGGAUAAAGAAACCAGGGUACAGGGAGAGAAGACUGUUCUACACGCCUACAGCUGGAACAAAGUUCUGGCCCAGGAGCUAGAGAAGCGCCUUGCUUUCCGAUGUGGACUUCUUCCUCAGCAGCCGCUGUGUGGGACAAAUACAAUCCAGAAACACAUUGAUUGGAUUCAGCUUGCCGGUGGUGAGUUUCCUUUGUGUUUUGUUUCUUUUCUGGGGUUUUUUGAACCUAUGUAUUCCUCUUUACCCUGGAGCCUCCCGCCCCAGAGUGAUCAAGCAACCUGUUGUCUGUCACUGUGGAGCUGGGGCCAGCUUGGUCUUCUUCCAGCUGUUGAUAACCCUUCCUCUCUGGUUCGCAGUGAACUUCUAUAACAUGGAGAAUUUAUGACUGAAAAUGCAGCUUGGCCCGAAUGCAGAGACCACUGACUUGGAAAGGAGAUUCACUAUCAUCGUGGCCAUUGUGAUUGUCACUGUCACUAACACAUUUUCAGAGCGGACCACAAGUACUUCUAAGCAAGAGCUCAGUUCAUCCCAUGACACAUUGAGGUCAUCCAUAGAGGAGGAAACUAAGGUUC